rnacentral:lncRNA from 1 species
ACUCACGAAUACUGAGAUCCCCCAAGCAAGUAUGAACUUCUCUAAAAGGGACACAUGAAUACCAAGAUAUUGGAGGCUUGAGCAAAUACUAUGAAUCUCUCAAGGAGCUAUGGAUUACCUUAAAAGGCUAGACAACAGAGCCAUGGCACAGGAAGUCUGCCCUGGAUGCUAUCCUGCUGGGAAUUGGCCCUCUGAAACAGAUCCACCCACCCUGAUGAGUCAUGACAUUAAAAAUUAUGAAGGAAAUGGACUGGACUGGAGACACCUCUCUCUUCUGGGAUACAACAUGUAAAAGCAGGAUUGAGAUCUCUAUGCCUGUUCUUCAACUGCUGUGGCUACUACUAUUCCAAGAGACAGAAUAAGAAAGUUAAAGACAGCAAGAAAUGGAUCUGUAAGGCCCGAAGUGAGUGGUCUGGAAAACGACUGGGCUCACUCACAUGAAUAUAAGGGUGAGAGGGGAAAAGCUGUGUGACUAAGUCCUGUGAUUUGGGGAUUGGGUCCAAAGCAUAGCUCAGCCCUUAUUUACUAACAUCAGAGUGAAGACAAGAACUAACUUUGCCUAAAUUUUGCAGCUAAUCCAUUCAGGAACAGACUAAAUCUCAUCCUUGUUUUCCUGUAAAGGCGACUCAAGAUUUUAUCCACUUGAUUAACAGGUAUGUUCAUAGUAAACCCGAGUAACCAUUUUUGUACAGUGAAUAAAGUAUUUUUAAUUAUCCAGA